GGUAGCUUAACCUUCGGGAGGGCGCUUACCACUUUGUGAUUCAUGACUGGGGUGAAGUCGUAACAAGGUAACCGUAGGGGAACCUGCGGUUGGAUCACCUCCUUA
rnacentral:rRNA from 7 species